CGUGAUCCGCCCACCUCAGCCUCCCAAAGUGCUGGGAUUACAGGCGUGAGCCACCGCACCUGGCCAAGAAGCAUUUUCUAAACUAAUCUUCUCCUACAAAUAGCCCCUGGACCUUGAGGAUCAUAAAUGGUCAUCAUUUAACAUUUUUUUCUGCUAGAAGUAUUGAGCCUCUUUGUUGUAUUGAGACCAAAAGAAGAUCUGUCACCCCCCUCCACUCCCCUACAGAUGUACAUACAACUUUCGGCAAUCUCAGAGAGUUUGAAGCUACAAUUCUAUUACAAACGACGUGCUACAAGUAUGCUUUUAAAAUAAAUUAUUUUUCCAGUUUUUUCACUUUAACCUCUGCCCCAGUGGUCGUAAAAACAGAGGCAUGGAGACUGAGUUCUUUUCUGUGGACCAUUAUGCAUCUAUCUUUUCCAAUAGUUUCCUUUGCCUCUGCUCUUUUUUGCUGUACAAAGACAGAAAUUUCUAAACAGAGCCUUUAAUAGUCCAUUACUUUUUACCCAUGUUAUGCAAUGUAGCUUUAAAGACGAACUUUUCCAGCAAACUGCUGCUUGUGUGAAUGCCUGUUUGGGAGUGAGACUUCCCUACUGGAAAAAUAACUAACACACACUACACCAUAGUUACGAUUACAUCACAAUAAAUAUUCUAUGCAGGACUAGGAACAGUUCCUCAAAGAAAAAUGCUUGGGGAACGGGUAAUUGGAAUGAACUACAAGCAUUUUCACUGAGCUCAAAGAAACUGCAAGAAAAAAGAUCUUCGAUCUGCAUCCAAGUAUUUUUUUUGUCUGAAAGAACACUGUGUGAGGAAUUUUGACAUUCUCUGCAUUCUAAUGAAAAUGACUUGGAAAGUAGAGGCUUCUCUAUACAUUUGCCUCAUUGCCGCCACGAUGGGCACCGUUUAUCAGGAAUAAAGAGAGAAGAUCAAGAAAGUAGUUCUUUUCUGGAGAAUUUUGUGCUCUGGCUCUUAAGUACUUUUGCUUUGCCAUGAAUGUGAAUAUUUUAAAGGCCAAAAAAGCCCCCUCCAUUUGAGUUGCAGAUGGCCACAGGAACCCAACAAGAAUGCUAACAACUCAUUUUAAAAAGGGAAAAAGAAAGGAAGUGCCAAGUUCCACACUGCAUAUCCAUACUGAUGUUGAGCCCAUCUUGGCCUAGCUGGUAGAACUGAAAAUUGAGAAUAAUAUUAAGGGGCUGCAAUGAUCCCUAAGGGUAAAAAUAAAUGUGUUUCUGAAAACAACAGCCACAUCCACAAUGAAAUAGACAUGAAACAAGAUAACCCAAGAACACAUUUGUUUUCCUUGUAACAGGGAUGCGUUAAGUUCAUUAUUCAGAGGACUUUGAUUACCCUUUUCAAAGAUUUUUGGUGAGUUUAAUUUUCAAGGCUGUUAACCACUGAUGUCAACUUAAUUAUAGCAAGCAAACAACCAACCCAUAAUGUAUGAUGCCAAUUGUUGGUUUUACUCUAGUCUUGCAUUAGACUUGGAUUUCUUUGCUCAUUUAUAACUUUCUGAGGGAGGAAGGUUUCUGCGCAGUCACUUGCUUUCCCUUAGCUGGUGUCUUUGUUCUCCAGUUUGCCAUGGGGGAUUGAGGGAACAGAUAUUUAUGACUUAUUAUCUCAGUAUUAACAGUGCCCCCUCAAUGAUUUAUGAAGCUGUGCUGUUGCAUUUCUAACCUUGAUGUCCUUCUGAUUAUUGUUCUCAAAUGGUAAGAUUAACACAGUGGGGCCCAAAGAUUCUUAAUCAGUUUCUUGCAUACAAAUUCACCCAAAUGUAGGGAAGAGAGAGUCCUUGGUGGCAUAACGACUUCCAGAUGGAAUGAACUGAGAACAUCUAAGCACUUAACCCAAAGCACCCUUAUAUUUGUCACCAUGAACAUGAUGUCCUCACACUAAAAUUUAGUUAUACUUUUGUAUCUCAGCAUUCAAUGAACUAGAAUUCUAGAAUGGCAUGUACAUCUUGUGUUAAAGUUCAGGACAUUUGUUGGUAUAUGUGUUUCUUUUCUUCCAAAGGGUGACAGUGAUCCAGGAUGAAGGUCCUUUGACUAUACAUUUCAGCGUUCAAUUGAGGUAAAAUAAUGGUGAUUUUCGGGAAAGAAAAAUUAUCCCUGUCCUUUUUCCAGGGGUCCCUGGAGGUACUUUGUUGAAUUUUUCUAAUCUUGUGCAUGGACUUCUCAAAAGCUGAUCUGGCAGACAAUCACAGUUGGCCACUCAGUCACUACCCUUACAGCUACUAGCGGCCAUGAGACAGUGAUCUGACCCAUGAAAUGUAAAGAGAAUUUCUGGGGGGACUUUGGAAACUCUUUUGCGUUCUCAUUAAAAGGCAAAGCUUAAGACACAAGCUCUUUGGUGCCAUCCCUUCCCUUGAACCUGAAUACAGUGAUCAUCUUGUGAUCAAGAGGCAAGAAACCUGAGGACAAAAAGCCAACAUGCUUAGGGAAGUAAGAAGAAAAAUGGAGAAAUUUUGAGUUUUUGAUGACAUCACUGGGCUGUAGGAGCAACCCCAAGAUCACCUAUGUAGACUAUCUUGUUACAUAAACAAGAAAUGCCUUUAUGGUUUAUGUCCCUGCUACUUGCAGCCAAAAACAUUCUUAUGUGAUACAGGAAGCAAGGUCUAGGGUGGAGGCAAGAACAGAAAGGACGGGGGCAGCAGUAAUGGCUGGUAAAUUCUGUUAGGAAGUGUUGCCCCAGAGACUAAUGAAGGGAUGGAAAAUGCUGCUUGAUGCCUAGGAGCUGUUGCAGCCAUAGCUGCCUUGGCCUUCCACCUGAGGAUGAUGCCAGGUUUUGUCAAUAUCAUGACAGUGAUAUUAAUGAUAUUCAACAAAGGGGGCAAGAAUACAAGCAAUUAGUUGAAUUCUUAGAGCUCAGUGAAAGAGUGUAAGGGCAAAGCAGACAGCAGGAGAGUAAAAACGAAGUUUGUUUGCUUCCCUUUGUGGUUUAAUUUGCCCAAACUGAAUGGUUUAGAAGUAUAUCCCUCAGCUGAAAGUCUAACUGCCUGUGUCUUGUGGAACAUACCUGUAUUUGUAACUUGCAUCUUCUGUGUGGGUGAGGACCAGGGGGCAUAAAACCAUGUGGGGGGAUUUUCCUUCUUCCCAAGGGAGAGCUGAUGACCAAGGCUGAAUUCCAAGGUAGCAGAGUUCCAGCUGAGGACUGGCCAGUGGUAACCUGGACCCCAGCUUCCUCAACCACCAUAUAAGCUGGUGUUGUAGAGGUGUGUGUGUGUGUGUGUGUUUCUUGAAAACACUCCUAUUCAAAGCAAAGCCAGGUCAGCCUUAAAAGCAAGCUGACAAAAAGAACUAUAAAACCAGGGGUGGAUUACAUUUCAGAGUGGUUCCUUAAAUUACAACUAUCACUAACAGGCAUUAGUCAGCUAUUUCUAGUUUAACUAAAAAGUAAAAGGUAUAUUCAACUUGUCUUUAUUCUAUUUUUCUUCUUAUGCUAAACAUUUAAGCUCCUUCAUUUCUGCUAUAAUAUUUUGAAAUGGUGAUAAAUCUGUUUUAGCUUGAAACUUGGUUUCUUCAAUAUACGCAGUCAGCAAAUAGUUAUUGCGUGUCUCCAUACCAGUGAGUGUGUGUGUCUGUGUAAGACAGAGGGAAGGUGAGGUAGAGAGAGAAAGAGAGAGAGAGCAUGAGAGAGUGUGCGUGAGAGAGAGCCAACAGCAUCCUUUCAGGAUCUUGUACAUAGAAAUGAAAGCCGUGAAUGAAGCUGUAGUUCAAUUUGAUUAGGAAAAUGCACUCUAAAAUACUGAGAGGAUGUGAUGCCAGGCAAACUGAGCUGCUGGCUGGAGAACACUGAACAAAGAUGAAAUUGUUUCUGGAUCUUAACUCACUCUUAUGCAGAAUGUCUCCUGACUUGCUUUAUCCCUCUUUCCCUUGCAGCAGUCAGUGACAGGCUGGGUGGAAAGUUGUCCUUCCUCUCAGAGAAUGUUAACUCAUCAGCCUCCAGGUGUGGCUCCGGCCUAUUGGCUGCCUUUCCCUUUGAAGGCACAGACACUCUUGAGAGAAUCUUGAGCUGGCUUUGGAGCUGGGACCCCUUUGCACUCCCACUUUGGAUGUCUUCACUGGGUGGCAGACUAGUCAACCCGCUAGGCUCUAGCUAUUUCUGAAUAGGUUCUUUGAAGUUACUGGAGACCCAAGUGGUUUGCUACAUUUUGCAUAAGUAAUAGAACAGUGCAUAAACCCCCUUGCCCAGCAUCACUUAAUACACCUGCUUCUGCUGAUGCUCUUUGAAGAUGCCUCCGUGGAGGGCAUUGCAAACUGCUCUGCACAUUCAUAUUCAACCCGUGUGCAGUAUGCAUGGACCACUGCAGGCUGAGAGCCGCGUGCCUGGCGCGGCCCGCCUCUAGCACUGUCUCCAGUCAUUCCACUGUGCUCACAAAGAAGUCCAAGAAAUAGAAAAACAUAAAAAGCUAUUGUCCAUGUCCAGUGAGAAAUGAAAUGCACUGGACCGCGUAUCACAACUUCCUUAAAAUAAUACAACUUUAUCACUUUUGCAUCUGAUCCUGCUCAUGGUUUGCAAAGUCAUAAACCCCUUGAAAUCAAUAGCUUGAGCCAUCGCUGCUCUAUUCUAUUUAAACACAUCCUCUAAAGAAGCAAUUUAUUACGAACUCUCUAUGGUUUCACCUUAUCUAAAACACUUAAUUCAGUCCAUCUCCUGCUUUGCUUUGUAGUGUUGGAAGCAAUCAGAAGACUGGAAGCAAUUUACUAAUAAGAGAACAUGCCCUACAGCUCUGGCCUGUGAAAAGAGUUUCAGAAUCACGAUGUAGCCACAAGUCAAAUUCUAGAAAGAAUUAAUGGCACAUCUCAUAGUUCUUUCAUUUGCUGGCUGAUUCAUUCCAGAGUGGUUUUGAGGACAGAAUGAAGCAAGAUGAAAAACAGCACUUUGAAAAUGGAGUGUGUGGUAUUCAUCUUAGAUACACUUUUAGAGAAGAAGAAAUGUGUCUCAGAAAAAGGACCUCUUCUGACUCAAAUUUAGCUUACAUCCCCUUCUCAACCAUAUCCCAGGUGAUAAAAUAUGACACCCAGCAGAAAUUCCAUCCAAACACAGGAAAGAAGCAGGCCCGGGGGCUUGGAGAUGAUACUUGUCCAGAAAUCCCAUGAUUAUUUUGCUAUAGCAGACGAUGACCUUCUCAAAGGAAGCCUAUCAAACGCUCAAGAUAAAUAAUGAGAAGGUCUCUCUCUCCUGCCUCCAGGAAAAAACUGCACAGAGGAAAAAUGUUUGCUAAACCAUUAAUAUGUUCAUCCCAGGAUGGGAAGCAGCUUGGUCUAAAAGAAACAGAGUGGCACAUGUGUUUGUGUGUGACCAGUGGCCCCAUUCAACAGGACUCCUGGGGCAGCAUCCAUGGAGGGGCCUCAGGAGACACACCUAAGCCCUUUACCCAGUAACGUCGGAAAUGAAUGUUUCUCUGGUGGCAGACAGGGUACCUUCUAAACCUCUUGACUCAUGAGCAAAUUAACUCAAGGAUGGCCAACACCCUCUUAUCACUUGAGACUCAGAAGAAGGGAAAUCUCCUCUGAAUUCUUUUCUGACCAGGGGCCCUGAUGACUGCCCCUUGUUGUCCCUUCAUCCCUGUGUGGACCAUUCUCAUGGCAUGGUGGGUAUUUACUGUGUAUAUCGGUUGCCAUAGCUCAGUCUCCCUUGUAGGGACUGAACCUAUUUAUCUUCACAUCUCUUGUGGCCAGAACACACCUGGCAUAUAGGUGGUCCAUAAAUGCUAGUGGAAUAAAAGGAGGAUGCUAAUUAUGUUUAUUUACUGGUCAUCCUUUUCCCCCCUAUCACUUUAACUUUCACCUCUCUAAUGCCCUUUAAUGUCCUUGAAAGCGAUUGAAUUCCUAAGACAAGCUGCCAUACUUUCUGGUGGAGAAUACACAUUUAUUUCCUGAAGGGUAGUUAAUGUCUAAUCACCCAGAAGACAUUUAGGUUUCUUUUAUUUAGAAAGCGGAGAUAAUAACUCCCCCAGUAAGUAAACAGGAAAAUAGACUUUGUUCUUCAAAAAAAAUUUGAUUAACAUAGUUUCAAGGAACAUUUCUACUGUUGUAAACCAAGGUUCUUGAAAUAAUCAACAACAUUACAGAUUGCAAGGUUAGAGAUUAAAACAUGCAAAAUAAGUGGAAUCAUACCAUUUAGCAAUGGAAAGACAGACUAUGUCGGUGAGGUGUUUUAAAUACCCAAACAGUUUUAUGACAAAAAAAAUCCUCACUAUAAACAAAAUGAAUUAGGGAUUUGCCUUGGAAUGAAGGUUUAAAAAUAAUGGGAUGAGUUUAAAGAAUACUGCAGGCCCUUAAAGACGAUGAGAGAUUUUGAGAGGCCUGAGUGACUUCAGUGGGGUCCAUCCCUAAAAUAAUGAAGGACUAAGUAAGUCAAACCUUAGGGUCGCCUCUGCAGAUCUUUAGCCUGGCCUGUGCAAUUGUAUUGCACAGAGGAAUACAAUAUGGCAGGAACAGACCAAUGUAACAGGUAGCAAUUGUUCACGCACCAGAUCUGGCACCAGCUACCAGAGGGAGGGUGAAAGAGGGGAAAAUUAUCUUUUCUUCAACUCUGUGAAGACUUAGAGUUUCAGAUAGUUAAAUGUGAGUGGGCUGGUGUUUCCUCUUUGCUAGAUUUAGUGUGUGCGGUUUCUCUGCCAUGUAUAUCUAUAGUUCUCUAAAGUGACUGGAGAAAUACUUUUCCUUAAAUCAGUGGUAAAGAAGUUACUGGCAAAAUGUCCCUUAAAUAUUCCUGUUGGGUGCUACCAAAGGAUUAUUUAAAAUCAUGAAAAUAAUCCAAAAGCUGCUCCCACUGGAAAAUGACUAGGAGAAAGAUGUUUAAAUUCAAAACUGCUAAGCACGGACACCUACCUAAACACACACACACACACACACACACACACACACACACACACACACCCUUCCUCUGAAGCUUUCCAGGGAUAGCUAUAGAAAUUUCAUUUUAAGCAAGGGAAAAAAAAAUAGAAUCACCCCCUCACAAAAAUGUUUGAGUAUAUUUUGGUCUCUUGGUCAGGGCCAAUAAAGAUCUCUUGUUGUGAGCCAACUAGAACAGAAAUGGAGUGAGAGAUGUACUACUUUAUGUGGUCUGAAUGUGAUUAGCGAUUAGCGCUGGUGGCUUCAGUCACUUGGGAAUGGCAAUCAGGGUUUUGCUCCUGCAACUCUGAACGACUACAAAACACCCUUGGCUUCCAUCCCAUAUGAUGAUGGGAUAUUAACUGAAAAUCUAAUUAAUCUGUGAAUGAAUUAUGGCCUAAGAAAUAUACCAUUUUAUAAUCAAUUUUAAGCGAGUCCCUAACAGAAGAUAAGAUGAAGAAAAAGCUGUAAAAUUGUAAGAGGUUGGUACAUUCUGUUCACUAUGACUGAUGAUUUUAAGGGGGAUAAUUUUACAAUCCAUCACAUUUUUGUCAUUUUAAAAAUCAUGCCUCCCAAUGAAUGUUGUAAAUUAACUUUAGAAUUUACAUAUUUAUUAAAAAUUGUAUAGAAAACAGCAGGAACUGUGCCCCAUUUGAAUAAUAAAAUAACUUGUUAUUCCACUGAAGACAAAAACACACAAAAAAAUCAAAAGAUUUUAUUUUCAGGUAAUAAUCAUAUUAAUUGCUAUCUGAAUUAGUUAAACCAAGAAUUAAUAUUCACCAGAGGCAGUGACACAGCAUUAAAGAUAAUCCUCCAAAUUCCCAUUUUCAAACAUGUCUCAGAACAUGUAAAAGCAAGGGAAAGACAAAUGGGGAGGUGAGGACCAUGUUCUUAGCCUGCGGGGUUGGGCAGCAGCAGAUGUUUGAAGCUGAGCUACAUCACCUGGGGGAAGGGGAGGUGCAGACAGCAAAACACAUGAUUUGGCUCUGAGAUGAAGAAGCACAGGACUUCAUUUUAAAAGCCUCUUUGCUUGUGAGGCUGAGGUGGGCAGAUCGUUUCAGACCAGGAGUUCGAGAUCACCCUGGGCAACACGGUGAGACUCUAUCUCUACAAAAAAUACAAAAAUUAGCUGAGUGUGGUGGCAGGCACCUGUGGUCCCACCUACUUGGGAGGCAGAGGUGGGAGGAUUGAUCAAGCCCAGGAGAUUGAGGCUACAGUGAGCCGUGAUGGCACCACUGUACUCUAGCCUGCGUGGUGGAAUGAGACACCAACUCAAAAAAAAAAAAAAAAAAAAGCCUCUUUCCAAAAAGAUUCUCUACUCUACUUCUCCUACUUUGGUUGAACUCCCUACCCAGAAUGGAAGGUUUGCUGGAGGCAACAGAACAUCCCAGAUGACUCCAGAGCAUGCAGGGAAAUAACCAGAAGGGCAUGGAACCAUGCCACAUAACAUGUGGGUGAAUACAACCAUUCACUCUAGAUUAACCUCAUAAUGGACUGUCAACUCAAAGAACUGGCUCCAAGAUAGGAACUGCAUGGAUUCAUCCACAGAAGGAUGAAGGGGUCAAGGGGAAUAGAACUGGUGUGUUACCACAUGUACUCACUAGUAAGAGUAACCCAUUGGGCUGAACUGACACAAGAUGUUCUCUUGAAAUUCCUGAGAGAUGAGGGAGAAGGAUAAUGCAGUACAUGUUUUUCAUGAACUUCAGUUUAAUCAUGAUUCCUUCUUUCCAUGAGGGAUUCAUGAUAGGCUGUUACCACUAUUUUUAAGAAAAGAGCAGAGAUCCUUCAUGAAGUACUGUAGUUGAGUGUGAGGCUUGGCUCACACUGCCUCUGCUACUCAGAGUUCAUUGCUUCAGUGCAGACAUGGCUAAUACCUGGCACUUGUGCGGCAACCAACUCCUCUCAUGCCCACAGCAGGCAUUGCUUAUCAGUCUCUGUCAUCUGUCAUCUGUCAUCCCAAGCAUGGAUAGGGCCUCAGAAUCCUUCUUAACACCACAAUUCAGGCAACCUCUGUCUAUUGAUUGUCCUUGGCAUUUGAGAUGAAAGCUAUCUUGCAUCCUUGUGUGUGUGUGUGUGUAUUUAUACAUGGGAAAUAUUUAUAUAUUAUCAGCAUAUAAUUAAAUCUAGCUAGCUAUAUAUUACAUCUAUAUACAGAGAUCCAAAUACCUAUAUUAUAUCUAACUGUCUGCUAAUGGUGUAGUCAUAUUCCUUAGUAUCUGCAGCUAAUAUGAGAUAUAGAUUGAUAUCUUAGUAUAUGAAAACUUGAAGUCACCUUUGACUCUUCUCUUUGUCUCAUACUCCACAUCUACCAGUCUUCUGGUAAAUUGCCUGUUUGUUCUCAGAAACAGCAAGUCCUUGAAUAAUAUCCUUUUGUUCAAUGUUAUUUUUUUAUAACAUUGAUGAGAAAAAAAAAUCAAUUCCUGCCAGGCCACUGUCUGUGUGGAGUUGGUAUGUCUCCCCAUGUCUGUGUGGGUUUUCUCCAGGGACUUCAGGUUCCUCUCACAUCCCAAGGCUAUGCGUGAGAGAUAAAUUGGUGUGUCUACAUGGUCCCAGCAUCAGUGAGCAUAAGUGUUCUGCAAAGGAACUGUGUCCUGUCCAGGGCUGGUUCCUGCUUUGUGUCCUAACUGCUGGGAUAGAUUCCAGCCACCUGCAACCCUGAGCUGGAAUAAUUGGGAAAAUAAUGGACUUACUUGUUUUUAUUCACCUUUCUUAAGUACGUGUACAGUUCACAUGUGUUUCAAUGUUUAAUAUUAGAAGUGUUCUGGUCUCUGUUUAGAAGUUUAGUAAUGUUUCUGUGACCAGGAAUAUGCCCUAGGAACUCAGCUCUUGCUUGUAUCAAUUAGCCUCGGAUAAAGUUGGUUUCUUUAUAUGUUGUUUUGCCUAAAGUCACAGCUUCUGAGAACCUACAACUUUAAGCAAGGACUUACUGUGCAUUCUUCUCCUUUCCCCUGCUCCACUCUGCACCAUAGGAACUACAUUUUCCAGGCUCCCUUUAUUUCUGGCUUCUGGGAAGGUUCAGCCAAUGGGAAGCAAUAGCAGAAGGCAGAAGCCUGGACAGUAAGAGGAGGGGGGGAAACAAGGCAUUUCUCCCCUUCUCUGUGUCCUGUGCUGUUCCUAGCAGCACCCACUUCUCCCUCACUGCUCUAACUUCCACCAUGUGCCCCUUCCCAUCCAUGGUUUUAGCUUCCAUUGGACAGUCCAGCUUCUAGACUCUAAUGUCACUCUGCCAUUUCCCUCCAUCCUUAAAGAGGGUGGUGACUUCCUGCUCUGCUAAUUUCUAGAUCAUGACUGUCUCCUGUUGAGUAUCUCAGCUAUUCCAUUAUUUGGAUAAGCCGUUUACUGUAUUGAAUUCCCUCUACUGAAAGGCCUAAAAUAGUUCCCAUUCCAUGCUAGGCCCUGACCAAUACAAUCAGGAAAUUCUGUUUGUGCAACUUUAAUCCAGUCAUUCUUCACCAUUUGUUUUUUGCUACCAUCAGCUCUUGCCUAGAUGACCACAUUAGUUUCCCAACUGUGCUUCCACUCUCUCCUCCUGAUAGCCUGUUCUUCAUACAAAAGCCAAGGCAUCCCUUAGAAACUGUAAAUCAGGUCAUCCCACUCCCCUGUUAAAACUCCUCAGAUGGUUUCCCUUUGCUGACAAUGAAUCCUAAAAUUCUCCCCACAGCCUAUAAGGUCCGAUAUAAGUGGCUCCUAGAUUCUUCUCCACACUAUUUCUCUUCCUCUCUGUGGUUCUGCUCCAGCCAUAAUGGUCCAGGGACACGUCACACAUACCCCUCCUUCAGGGCCUUUGCACUUGCUAUACCCGCUACCUAACAUGUUCCUCUUUCGAUUAGUCACGUUUCAGUGUUUCACUUCAUUCAAACCUGACAGAGCAAGAGAAUCACCAUCUUGGACAAGCACCGCCAUUUUAAAAUGCCCCUUGAUCAAAAACCACCUAAAUCCAAAGGGCAUCAGCCUAAUGGCUAAGAUCAGCAUGACCAUAAAUCACAAAUGACAUCUCCGACCAGAAACAUUCCAACAAUAAGAUAAACCCCUCCCUGACUGGAGGGAUGUCAGCCCCAAGAUAGCCUCUCCUCCAACCACAGACAUUCCCACCCUGCAAUAAACUUCUCCCCGCCACAGAAAUAUUCCAAGCCCGUGAUAAGUUCUCUCACCCUGAACCCUUAAAUACUAUUAGUCUGUAAGAGAGAGCACUCUUGACAAAAAUUGGCCAGAAGCCCCUGUCAGGUUUAUUCUCCAAAAUAAACCUGUCUUUGACCUUUCAGCUGCUUUUCAUGUUUCUUUCCUUUCUUUACCUCUUACAAAACCUCUGUUCAAAUGUCCCUUCUUCAGAAAGGCCUUUCCCAAUCAGUCACUCUGAAGCCAUGCCCUCAUUAUAUCCCAUCUAUGAAGCCUGCUUGAUUUUAUUUUAUUUUAUUUUAUUUUAUUU
rnacentral:lncRNA from 1 species